UACGAAGGGGGCUAGCGUUGUUCGGAAUUACUGGGCGUAAAGGGCGCGUAGGCGGCGUGUCAAGUCAGGCGUGAAAGCCCCGGGCUCAACCUGGGAACCGCGCUUGAGACUGGCAUGCUCGAGUUCGGGAGAGGAUGGUGGAAUUCCCAGUGUAGAGGUGAAAUUCGUAGAUAUCGGGAGGAACACCGGUGGCGAAGGCGGCGACCUGGGUAGAUACUGACGCUGAGGCGCGAAAGCGUGGGGAGCAAACAGG
rnacentral:rRNA from 1 species